rnacentral:sRNA from 1 species
AUACUUAAUUUCCUAGCCUGAAAAGGCAUUGGCUGGUGGCUAAAAAGCCACCGGCCU